rnacentral:misc_RNA from 1 species
AAGUCGUAACAAGGUUUCCGUAGGUGAACCUGCGGAAGGAUCAUUAAAGAGAGGAGACGGCUUCGCAGUUCCCUGGGGCUUACGGCCCCUUCCUCUUCACCCCGGUGUUUACCUUUACCGACAUUCGUUGCUUUGGCAGGCCUUGGGGUCGUGCUCAUGCCGCCCGGGGGUGUCCCGGGGGCGAGCGCCUGCCAGAAAGCCCAUUUAACUUCUUGAAUCAACCAUGUUGUUCUGAGAUGAAAACAAAAUCAAGCAAAA